UGAUGAAAAUGAUGAAAAUAAUAUGUUGUUUGAUUAUCAAAAUUUAAAAUCAAAAUUAAAUGAUAAAACAGAUAAAGAUGAUAAUAAUAAUUCUAAAAAAUUUGUUGAAAAUCAAAACAUUGAAGAAUUAUUAGAA
rnacentral:ribozyme from 1 species